GCCACUGUGGUGUAGUGGUCUGAGUACUGGACUAUGAAUCUGGAGAUCAGGGUUCAAUUCCCUGCUCAAGCA